UACGUAGGGUGCAAGCGUUGUCCGGAAUUAUUGGGCGUAAAGAGCUCGUAGGCGGUCUGUCGCGUCUGCUGUGAAAACUCAGGGCUUAACCCUGAGCUUGCAGUGGGUACGGGCAGACUAGAGUGCGGUAGGGGAGACUGGAAUUCCUGGUGUAGCGGUGAAAUGCGCAGAUAUCAGGAGGAACACCGGUGGCGAAGGCGGGUCUCUGGGCCACUACUGACGCUGAGGAGCGAAAGCGUGGGGAGCGAACAGG
rnacentral:rRNA from 1 species